GGGGAAUUUUCCGCAAUGGGCGAAAGCCUGACGGAGCAAUACCGCGUGAGGGAGGAAGGUUUUUGGAUUGUAAACCUCAGAAAUUAGGGAAGAAGCAAGUGACGGUACCUAAUCUAAGCAUCGGCUAACUCCGUGCCAGCAGCCGCGGUAAUACGGAGGAUGCAAGCGUUAUCCGGAAUUAUUGGGCGUAAAGCGUCCGUAGGUGGUUAUUCAAGUCAGUUGUUAAAGCCCACAGCUCAACUGUGGAUCGGCAAUUGAAACUGAAUGACUUGAGUGUGGUAGGGGUAGAGGGAAUUCCUAGUGUAGCGGUGAAAUGCGUAGAUAUUAGGAAGAACACCAGUGGCGAAGGCGCUCUACUGGGCCAUAACUGACACUGAUGGACGAAAGCUAGGGGAGCGAAAGGGAUUAGAUACCCCAGUAGUC
rnacentral:rRNA from 1 species